CAUGUCCAGCAUAUAACCCUAUUAUUUUUCAGGGACACCACAUCUCUCUAUCCCGACCUGGACUCCCGUCUCACUCGGCGAAUCCGUGGUCGUCUAUUUCAUGAGAUCUUGGAUUCUACCUGCCUGUACCACCUACAUGGUUCUGUGACGUAUUGCAGUUUCCCGUCUGACGCACUGCCAAGUUGCUCUCCUCUGCCUAAUUGGGUUUGGCAUGGUCGGCAUGAUCAGAGCAAUACAGGAUGAACUAUUGCACAUAUUUUUGUCGAGAUUGUUUUUUUUUUCCGAGAUUGUUCUAUUGCACAUAUGAAGGAACGAUACACAAGGAAAGGAAAAGGAGAGGCUCACUUCUAUCUUAUGAGAGAGGUAGAAGUACAAGACUGCUGGACUUUCUACCAAGAAUAUUGAACUGAAGAUGCUCCUGCAGAACAUGGAGCAACAUGUACAAUUGCAAGCUCUCAACCAUCCCUAAAAUGGGAUUUCUAACUCCUGCAAAUGUGCAGCAACGUCGGAGAGGUGAAGCAGUUCAUUGUUCUUCCGUGCGCAUAGACUAUUUUGCUGUUGUUCACUAAGGCACGUUGAGCAAGGAGAGCAGAGGGAGAUGACAUGGUCAGCCAUAACACCACACUAUCCUUGAUGGACAGCUAAGAUGGUUCAGGUGGUGGAGCUUUCAGGCUGCACCCAUCCUGCAUAUUGUGUUCUUGGAAAACGAUACAGCAAGUGUCCUGGUUGAUCAUGAUCCAUGAGAAUUCAAAAGGAAAAAAAGUACUCGGUUGGUGAAAUAAUAGUACUUCAUCCAUUCUUCUUCAAUGAUAACCUUAUCAAUGACAUUGAAUUUCUCGGGCAAUGAAGAGAAAAGACUGCAUUC